rnacentral:misc_RNA from 1 species
CCGAGUUUACAACUCCCAAACCCAAUGUGAACGUUACCAAACUGUCUGCCUCGGCGGGGUCACGCCCCGGUGCGUAAAAGCCCCGGAACCAGGCGCCCGCCGGAGGAACCAACCAAACUCUUUCUGUAGUCCCCUCGCGGACGUAUUUCUUACAGCUCUGAGCAAAAAUUCAAAAUGAAUCA